GCAAGAGCGAGUCUGGAAAAGGUAUCAACAACGUUGAAUUGGAGAAGGCAAAACAGCACUUCGGAAUUUUUACAUUAAUUGACUGACAAGUUUCUUAUACAAUGGACAUGGUUUCCAAUUAGGGUUUUGCUUGUAAUUUGACAGCCGGACUGCGAGGAUAUGUUUAGGGAAAUUAAACGUGAAAAAUAAUUAAUCUGGAACAAUUAGACUGUCGUUAAAACUGAUUGAAGUGAUUUGUUAAAGGAUUUUUCAAUCACCGAACUACCACCAGAGAUUUGAAUAUAUGCAUCUCAAUAGCCAAACUAGCAACUUUAAGCUGUUUGGGUGACACGACUCAGACGUUUUGAACGUUUCCAUUAGGCUGGUGAUGUAUAAAUACUGUAAUCCAAACACUGAGUGAGCAGAUGAAAGCAACGCAUUGGGUAUCCAACUGGUGUGUAAUGAUAACUGGUACUGUAUUAUGAAAAGCAAUUCAUCAAAGCGAAAUUAUUUGAAAAUAGCUUAUUAUCGCUGAUUGAGCUCCCUCGUGGAGUAUAAAGUAGCUGGGCACCGUUUGCUAAGAGAUUUCGCAUAACUAUCACAGCAACAUCGAUAUUGUUCAUGCUUACACUGAAACAGUGGCAUCCUGAAGUAUUGGAACCGAUGGCUCUCAUAGGGUACGCACAUCACCAUGGAUACACACGUCACCGUGGAUAUACUCAUCGCCAUUGACAAAGAGGUUUUCCAGCCAAGAGCCACAAUGGAAGAGUAAUUGCAAGAAGAAUAUUCCCUCGACGGACAUUCGAAGUUUUGGAUUAAAGUGGAACACUUAUUUAUGACUAUAAUUUCCGGGAAAACUUUACACAGACAUUCCUGAGUGUUUAAGAUUGCCGAAAUAUUACCAGGAUUUAUGUAAUUACAUUUAGUAGCUACAUCAGUAGUAACAGACUAGCACCAUGACGAUGCGUUAUAAAGAGGUGACGGGAAUGGAAGGGAACUCCUCCCUCCUUGACGCAAGCCUGUCGUACAAUAUAACAGCAACUAUGGUACCGCUGACAGAAUCUGUCACGGAAAACGGGACUACGACCCCGAUAGUGAUAGAAUUCAAGCCAUACGACAUGCCGCACCUCCUAAUAACGUCAAUCAUUCUUGGCUUGAUCAUAGUCGCAACAAUAAUUGGCAACGUAUUUGUCAUCGCUGCAAUCGUAUUGGAGAAAAGUUUACAAAGUGUGGCAAACUAUUUGGUGGCGUCUCUGAGUGUAGCCGAUUUGAUGGUAGCGUCUCUUGUAAUGCCCCUGGCGGUGGUAAGCGAGGUUUCCCAGAUGUGGUUUUUGGGAACUGAAAUAUGCGAAGUCUAUGUGUCAUUUGACGUACUUUGUUGUACUGCUUCCAUUCUCCAUUUGGUCAUAAUAGCGCUGGAUAGAUUUUGGGCAGUGACGCAAGUGGACUAUAUUCGUUCGCGGACGGCGAAACGAAUGAUUAUCAUGAUCACUAUAGCGUGGGUUAUUUCCAUAUGUAUAAGUAUUCCUCCUCUGUUUGGAUGGAGAAACCCUAGCAAAGACAAUCCGAAUACCACCGGUGUGUGUAUUGUAAGUACUUCCCUCGGAUACAGAAUCUUCGCAACCGUGGGAGCGUUUUACAUACCACUUGUAGUGAUACUUAUUAUUUAUUUUAAAAUUUGGCAAGCUGCAAAAAGUAGGAUCCGAAAAAAGGCAUUCCGACCAGCUCCGUCUCCCCGACCCACUGCUAAAUACGAAAGUGAGUGUACAACAUAUAUUACAUGUGCAGCCAUUGACACAGCAGUGGCCGACAAUGGCAACUCAUGUAAUGGGACGUCAAAGUCAAAAGAGGGAAUCAACAAAAAUUCCAAACUUUUAUCAGUUCAGGGAACAGCGUGUAGUGAUUCGGAAAUUAAUCUCUCUGAGGUUGAAGCAGAAAAUGGGAAGCCCAACAAACUUCAUUUACUAAUUAAAAAACCCAAUUGCAAAAAGAACGGGCAUAACAAUAAUAAAAAACAGAAAAAUGAACAUAUUAAAUCAAAAGAGAAACUGGAGCAUAAACGCGAACGGAAAGCAGCCAGGACUCUAGCUAUUGUAACAGGAAGUUUCAUCAUUUGCUGGUUGCCAUUUUUCAUCGGAGAAGUUGUUGGACCAUUUUGUGGCACAAACUGCCACUGGCCACGAGAACUCGUAAGCGUCAUUUUAUGGUUGGGUUAUCUUAAUAGUCUGUUUAAUCCAAUCAUAUACACUAUAUUCAAUCCCGAUUUUCGUAAUGCAUUUCAUAAAAUCCUAUUUGGAAAAUACCGAAAACGGUAUAGAGGACGAUAGAAAACUUAACAGAGUGAAUAAGUCAACAAAUAUGUUCGUCGUUCCAAAUGCGCAAUAUUUUGUCAUAGACCACCCACCAUUUAGCAGACACACCACCGCUAAAAGUAACACACACCCUCUUGGAAACACCACUUUGAAUUUCAAACAUGAGUAGGUUAUUUAACAGGAGAGAUGAUUGCCAAGUGUUUUGAGGGGAGUAUAUAGCUUUGGCGAACAUGAAAAGUCUGAAUCUAGUCAUUCAAUACAUUCUAAACUAUGUACAUAUUGAAGCAUUUUAAAUUUAAACAAUUUGUAAUUUAUAACUCAUUUGCUGAAUGCCAUAUUUUAUGGUAUAACA
rnacentral:misc_RNA from 1 species